rnacentral:rRNA from 1 species
CGCGUAGGGAUUUAUCGUUGGGCGGGGGAUAACCGCGGGAAACUGCGGCUAAUACCGCAUGACGCCUGUGGGCCAAAGCCGCUGUGAGGUGGUGCCUGAUGAGGAGCCUGCGUCCGAUUAGCUAGUAGGUUGGGUAAUGGCUGACCUAGGCUGUGAUCGGUAGCUGGUCUGAGAGGAUGAUCAGCCACACUGGGACUGAGACACGGCCCAG